ensembl:lncRNA novel transcript
ACUAAGCAGAAGAAAUCCAAGUCGGCUGAAUUUCUGAUGGUUAAAGAAGAUAGAGAAGCUACAGAAGGCACUGGAAAUCCAGCUUUUAACAUGAGCAGUCCAGAUCUCUCAGCAUGUCAGACUGCAGAAAAGAAAGUUAUUAGACACGACAUGCCGGAUCGCACCCUUGCAGCUCACCAACAAAAAUUCAGGCUGCCAGCCUCUGCAGAACCAAAAGGAAAUGAAUACGGCAGAAAUUACUUUGACCCACUGAUGGAUGAGGAAAUAAACCCAAGGCAGUGUGCGACGGAGGUCAGCAGAGAAGGAUUUGAAAUUCGAAGGGGAAGGCCUCAACGAAUACAUUCCUAUGUCACUUUUAAAGACUGGUAAAACAUUUGAGAAAACUCCAAGUCAACCAUUCAUUGCAGACCUAAAUAUUUGUAAAAAGGACAGUGCAGCCCAGCUUGGUACCCUCACAGAAGUAACUAAUGACUCAAAGGGAGCAGCAGGACCCCGCUGGAAGUUCCUGCGUAAUUCAAGAACCCCACCUUUUGUGGAAAAUGAGCAGUCUCAACCACCUCAGCCUCUGCAAAUCCAGAUCAGAUGCCUGAGGGGCCUUAAAGACAAGGCUCCUCCAGGCUCUUAUGUCCUCAAAGUGUCCAAGUGUCCCUGCUUGGUCGACUGGGAGGCUGUGUCUUGCAGUGGUGGCAAACGGAGCAACUAAAGACCAGAAAACACUCCGUCAGGCACAAUGGAAACUUUUAUGAUGUGGGGGUGUAUUUCCACGAAAACCUUUAUGUGGGAGCAUUCCUAAAAAAAUCGGUCCCUGUUCUAUGGACUAUGAUCCCAAUCUCUUAGAAGAAGACGAUGAACUACACUCUCAGGGAGAUAGCCUGACGGAUCAUUCUGUGAAAGGAAAAUCAACUGUUUGGAGAAUUGGAGAAGCUGAAGAUUAUUCACAGGACAUAUCUUACUUGGAGGAACUGGAGGAACACCGAUUUUCUGUUUGCUGUUCUUCAGUUGCUGAUAGUAGAUAUGGAGACUUCUUCAAGCAUCUCCAUUUUGUGCUGGUAUCAGCGUCUUCAGAACUUCAGUUAUCUCAAUGGCAAAGCCAGGGCUUCUGGUACAUUAUACUGCUGAUGUUUUUUCUCUGGUUCCUGAGGCUCUACCUGCAUUACUUGGGCCAGUGGCUUUUCCUCCAGGCCAUUUCAACUCCUGUUACAAAAUUCCAUUUUUCUCUUCA